rnacentral:tRNA from 1 species
AUCUCUUCGUUAUGAUAACUAGUGAUCUUGAAAAUCACCUUCAAACGUUUGAUUCGUUUAAGAGAUC